AUGGAGAAGCAGGGCGGCGACCCGUCAGGCGGCGCGCUCCCAUCGAAGGGGCCUGUUACUGUGCUGAGUGCAUCGCAUGGGGAUAAACACAACAGUGACACAUGCUUGGAGCAUGAUGAAAUUAACAAAGCCCAUGGAAUAUUGUUUAAAGAAAAAAGAGAUUCCGAAGAUAUGGACGAUCAACAUCUAUAUGAGGAACAGGGGCAAGAAAUAGAUGAUGAUUUAACUGAAACUGAAGUGUCAGAUAGUCUACUGUGCGACGGUGUGAUAAAUUUGGUAAGAAAGAGUAUUGAAAGGAAACAAACUCGUAAGAUAAUACGAAAGCAAACAACCAAGAGGCCUAGAAAUAUCGAAGAGCCUGUCAACAAACCCCGUGGUCACGUCGGAGCCAAGGCAUACAGCAGAUGUAGUCUGCCAUACUUUGUUGAUGUUGUCAAGUCCACAUGCAAAAGUAAAGAGAAAGUACAACUCGUCAGAGGUAUCGGCUUCGGUUUCACACUUGAGUUCGAUGAGUGUGUCGUACCAAGGCCAUUUGCGCAAUGGAUAGCUGAUAAUGUUUGUGUCAAGGAUGAACAAAUUGUCUUCAAUCAGAAGGUGAUAACACUCAAUGCAGAGUCAGUGUCCCAUGUUCUUGGAAUUCCAGCAGGUGAAAACAACAUCAACAUAACUGAUGAUGGAGGAAAAGCUGAAUUUCUCGCGUUGUUUGGGCUGUCAGAAGUUCCAUCAAUCAAGUAUUUUGGCAACAAGAUCAUCAAGGAGGAGGAGCUAUCUGAUGAACAAUACAUCCGUUGUUAUAUGAUCGUUAUGCUUGCAACCUUCUUAUGCCCAACAUCAAACACUAAACCAAGCACCAAGUAUAUGGGAGCAUUUAUUGAUGUUAGCAAGAUCAAAGACUUAAACUGGUGUAAAUUCACACAUGCAUGGUUGAUGCAAGCAAUCAACAAGUAUCAAAAAGAAAAGGUCAAGCAAAACAGGAUAACAUUAACACUGGGCGGAUACAUUUUUCACCUUGCGGUACAUCUUUUUUCAUGCUUUUCCUAUGGCGCAGAAUUCGAAGUUCAUGCGCAUGAAGCAAGGAAGCGUGGUGUCAAGUAG
rnacentral:rRNA from 1 species